GGACUACCGGGGUAUCUAAUCCUGUUUGCUCCCCACGCUUUCGUGCAUGAGCGUCAGUCUUAUCCCAGGGGGCUGCCUUCGCCAUCGGUAUUCCUCCACAUCUCUACGCAUUUCACUGCUACACGUGGAAUUCUACCCCCCUCUGACAGACUCGAGCUUGCCAGUUUCAAACGCAAUUCCCAGGUUAAGCCCGGGGCUUUCACAUCUGACUUAACAAACCGCCUGCGCACGCUUUACGCCCAGUAAUUCCGAUUAACGCUCGCACCCUACGUAUUACCGCGGCUGCUGGCAC
rnacentral:rRNA from 2 species